GAUGAAGAACGCAGCGAAAUGCGAUAAGUAAUGUGAAUUGCAGAAUUCAGUGAAUCAUCGAAUCUUUGAACGCACAUUGCGCCCGCUAGUAUUCUGGCGGGCAUGCCUGUUCGAGCGUCAUUUCAACCAUCAAGCCCUGCUUGUGUUGGGGUCCUGCGGCUGCCCGCAGGCCCUGAAAACCAGUGGCGGGCUCGCUAGUCACACCGAGCGCAGUAGCACAUCUCGCUCAGGGCGUGCGGCGGGUUCUUGCCGUAAAACACCCCCUUUUUACCAAGGUUGACCUCGGAUCAGGUAGGAAUACCAGCUGAACUUAAGCAUAUCAAUAAGCGGAGGU
rnacentral:misc_RNA from 1 species